rnacentral:rRNA from 1 species
CCUACGGGAGGCAGCAGUGAGGAAUAUUGGUCAAUGGACGAGAGUCUGAACCAGCCAAGUAGCGUGAAGGAUGACUGCCCUAUGGGUUGUAAACUUCUUUUAUAAAGGAAUAAAACGAGUCACUUGUGCCUUUUUGCAUGUACUUUAUGAAUAAGGAUCGGCUAACUCCGUGCCAGCAGCCGCGGUAAUACGGAGGGUCCGAGCGUUAACCGGAUUUAUUGGGGUUAAAGGGAGCGUAGAUGGGUUGUUAAGUCAGUUGUGAAAGCUUGCGGCUCAACCGUAAAAUUGCAAUUGAUACUGGCAGUCUUGAGUAUAGUUGAGGUAAGUGGAAUUCGUGGUGUAGCGGUGAAAUGCUUAGAUAUCACGAAGAACACCGAUUGCGAAGGCAGCUUACUAAACUGUGACUGACACUGAUGCUCGAAAGUGUGGGUAUCAAACAGGAUUAGAUACCCGUGUAGUC